GGGGUAUAGCUCAGUUGGGAGAGCGUCUGGUUCGCAAUCAGAAGGUCAGCGGUUCGACUCCGCUUACCUCC
rnacentral:tRNA from 1 species